rnacentral:rRNA from 1 species
GACGAACGCUGGCGGCGUGCUUAACACAUGCAAGUCGAACGAAAAGUGCGGGUAUCUUGCCGCUCUCAUUCUUAGUGGCGGGCGGGUGGGUAAUGCGUAAUCAAUCUCCCCCCCAGAGGGGGACUACAGUCGGAAACUGUUGCUAGUCCCACAUACUAUCGACUCUCGGUGUCGCGGCGAUAUGAAAGGUGGUUGCUACAUGUAAGCCCUCACUGAGCGACGGUACUGAGCCGGUUUAGCUAGAUGGAGGGGUACCGGCCCACCAAGGCGAGGCUCAGUAGCCGGUCAGAGAGGAUGAAAGGCCACAUUGGGACUGAGACACGGCCCAGACCACUACGGGAGGCAGCAGGGGGGAACCUUCCGCAAUGGACGAAAGGCGGAAGGAGCAACGCCGCGUGAGUGAUGACGGCCGUCGGGUUGUGAAGCUCUGUUAAUCGGGACGAAAGGCCUUCUUGCGAACAGGUAGAAGGAUUGACGGUACCGGAAUAGAAAGCCACGGCUAACUACGUG